GGUACAAACUUGAAGUACAGUAGAUUAUCAGGGUCAGCUGAUACUAUUAAUCUGCUCUACUUCAAAUUUGGGCCC
rfam:Haemonchus placei strain MHpl1 genome assembly, scaffold: HPLM_scaffold0002762